rnacentral:lncRNA from 1 species
CAGGGUUUGCUCAAAAAACACGUCCAUUUGGUGCUCAUGUAAUGGUUAAACUUUCAAGGGAAUAUAUAGAAGUGGCUUAUUGGUAUAUCUUAGAUAAUUGAGAAGAAAUAGAAGACUUCAGAAAGUAUGUGAUAGUAAUAGUUGAACAUUUAUUUAAAUAAUUAUAAUUCCACAACUUUCACUUACAUUUUAUUUAUUUAUGCAGUGAGCAUAUCAAGAUUUUGGAAAGAGAUAGUCAUGCUAAUGUACAACAAAGGCAUAGAUAGUUGUUUCCAGAAUGGUUUAGGCAGCGGGUCAUGUCAUUGUUUUAUCAAGAGCCUAGAUUGGUUAGUGAAGAGAUUUUUUCAUUAGCCCAAGGUCCAGAUCAACAUAUUGUCCAAUACACAGGUUGUAUUGUGAACGGCAUUCGAUAUUUGGUCAGACAUGUUGAUCAAAACCAUACAACACAGAAAAGUGGGGUUAUGAUGCCGGGGUCGCAUAAUGGUGAAACAUGUAACUUUUAUGGCAUCUUAGUUAAUGUCAUUAAAGUACAAUUUACUAGAGGUUUUAAGGUGAUUCUUUUCAAAUGUCAUUGGUACAAUACAGAUACAAGAGGUAAAAAAAGUUAUACGGGAUUAUCAUCUUACAUCAUUAAAUGUAAAUAAUCAUUGGUACGAUGGUGAUCCGUAUGUGUUAGCUAAACAAGCACAUCAAGUAUUUUAUAUUGAUGACUUAAAAUUGGGUCAUCCAUGGAAAGUUGUGCAAAAGAUACAACAUAGACACAUUUGGGAUGUUCCUGAGAAAGAUGAUGAGGAGGAGGAGUUAGACAAUGCCACUGAUGAAGACGAUGAUGAGUAUGUAGAUGAAACUGAAAAUUCUACAAGGGGGCUCCAUAAUGAUGAUGAAGUUGAUAUAUCAUUAUGUAGAGAUGAUGUUGAUCCUGAAUCUUUUGAUAUUAGCAACGAGGAGGGUCGAAGAAUGCUAGGGCUACAGAGGGGUGAGGAGGAGGAGGAAGAAAAUGACGAGGAUGAGGAGGAGGAAGAGGAUGAUGAGGAAGAGAAUGUUGGAUCCAAUGAUACUAAUGAUGAUUACAAUUGAUGACUAUGGUGAGAUCUAUGCAUUAUAAAUUAAUGUUUAUUGUCCUACAAUAGUAAAUAUAUUUGCCUAUCAUUUUACAAAUAGUCACUAUGCUUAUAAUGGUUUGUGUUUGUAUAUAUUAAUAUUUUGGUUAUGCUAUUUACUUUUAUGUUUCAUAUUUAGAUGCAAUUUUUACACAACGAGGAAAGAGGGUGAAGCGGGUGAGGGAUCCCUUACCUCAUCCUCCAAAUGAUGCAUUUGCACUGCAACCACCACCUCCUCUGCCACCACCACCUCCACCACCACCACCACCUCCGCGAGGAAAGAGGGUGAAGCGAUGAUGGAUCCCUUACAUCCUCCUCCAAAUGAUGCACUUGCACCUAAUCCACCACCUCCUCCACCAACACCUCUUUCAUCACCACCUGCACCUUCGCCAACAAACACUAACUCAGGUAAGAAAGGUAGUUACAAUUUUUACUUUUUCCUUAUUAACGUAGUUUUAAACAACACAUUACAUUGAUUAGAGAUACGUAUAUUUUUCUAGAGACAGAUUUUGAUUUUUUUGCAAAAAAAUGACUCGUGGAAAAUCAUGUGGGAAAGGCGUCCAUGAUAUUUCGAAGGCCAAU